rnacentral:rRNA from 1 species
AUACGAAAGGUGCAAGCGUUGUUCGGAUUUACUGGGCGUUAAGAGAGUGUAGGUUGUUUAUUAAGUCGGAUGUGAAAUCCCGGGGCUCAACCCCGGAACUGCAUUCGAUACUGAUAGGCUAGAGUUCGGGAGGGGUAAGCGGAAUUCCGUGUGUAGCAGUGAAAUGCGUAGAUAUACGGAGGAACACCUGAGGCGAAGGCGGCUUACUGGACCGAUACUGACACUGAGACUCGAAAGCGUGGGUAGCAAACAGGAUUAGAAACCCUAGUAGUCC